UCUAAUGAUGAUAACCUUGUCCAGUUCUGCUACUGAAGUUUAAGCGAUGAUACAUUAUAUAUAUAUAA
ensembl:snoRNA